rnacentral:misc_RNA from 1 species
GUGAAUCAUCAAAUUUUUGAACGCAUAUUGCACUCUCUGGUAUUCCGGGGAGUAUGCCUGUUUGAGGGUCAUUUGAAAUAAUAUAAAUUGCAAGAUUUCUCGGGAUUUAAAAUGGGUUGUCGAUUUGUUUUGGUCUCAUAAAAUCCAAGACAAGCGCAUUUUCUUGGGUUGCGUGACACUUUUAGUUACCUCGUGACUUAACCAGGAAGCAUCGGACGUGUUAUGAUUUUUGCAAGAGAUAA